rnacentral:misc_RNA from 1 species
CAUAGUUUCGUGUGUUUUUAAUAGCUUGAGCAAUUUCAUUACUACUCCAUUACACUACGACAAAUACGUGAAAAAUGGUUUCUCGAGCUGGUUUGGAAUACAAUCGAGGAUGCUGGGAAUUAGAUAAACAAGCUAAGGAGAAAGUGUUAUGUCUGUGAUCCGUUCAUUCGCAUCUCAGUGUUGCUGUUUUAAACAUGUGAUUUACAAAAGGAGGUGAAUGAAAACAGAAGUAGUUGGUCGUACGCAUUGUAUUUUCAAACUAAUAACGAACGAAAAACGUAAACAGAAGACAUACACAUCCUGUGGCUCUCAAGGCCUAAACCUAUCGAUACCUUUUCAUACUUUCGCAUUGCUUAAAAUCGUUUAGUACGAAUAAGUUCUCGUUCGAGAGACGGUGAAAUAUUUCGCGCGACGUUUUGCUUGCAUCGGAAACAGAUAAUUUAUACAUUCAUUUACUCCAUUAUUUUUCACUUUUGCUGCACAAUAUUAAGAGGAUACUUUUUUAUCGUAUUUUUUUCAAGAAAGAACUGAAUCCUGUUUUUUGUUCAUUUUUCGUUAAUUUCGAAUAAUUAAUUUCGAAUAAUUUUGAGAGGUUCCCACUCUUUUUCUUAUUCUCAAACUCCAAAAAGGAAGAAUUUUUUUCUAUUCCACAUAUAUUCCUCUACUUUUCUCAUUUGCAAUUUAACAAAAUAAUAAUUUCGUUCGAUUUUCUUUUUUUUGCGACAUUAAAUUUCCUUUUUCAUUUCUUUCCUUCUGUUUUCCAUUUUCCUCGAUAAAAUAGAGUUAACAGACUCACCCCCGCGGAAAAAAUCAAAACACGAUGCGAUACCAACGACUUCGAUGGUCGAUGCAGAUUCCCUCGAAUCUGUUGGCUUGGCAAACGAGGAUAGCCUUAAUACAGAGUUAAUGAAAUUAAGAGGCGUAAGUAUCGAUGAUCCCGAUGAUAUCGAUACUGAUAGCCGUAUGGAUACGGAUAUUAACGAGUUAGCUACGGAAUCAGUAACUCCCGCCGAGAUUUCUCAAGAUUCGCAAAAAAAACUCAAAAUCGCAGCGCCGAGAAUCGCUUGAUGGGAAAUAUUUUAAAGUCGAUCUGAACAAUUCAGUGCUAAGUGGUGGAAUUAUAGCUAUAUGCCAGCUCUGUACACCACCAAAAUCAUACAAAGGAGGGAGCAUUAGAACGACGUCGAACUUUACGUCACAUCUCAAACCCUAAAUAUAAAAAAAUCUAAUAAGAAAUUGGAGCACAUUACGCGUUAUUCUAUAAACAAGCGGAUAAACAAGAUGUGUACGAUAAGCGCUGCAGAAAUUCGCGAAGCAAUGGUCGCAAUAGCAAAUGAUGAUGGGUUCAUCCGUACGACAGCAGAUGUAUGGACAGGAAUAAAGCGUCGGUUUCUCGGUGUAACAGUGUCAUAGAUUGAUCCACAAACACUGACCCGUAAAUCCGCAGCUAUUGCAUGCAGACGGUUUGCCGGGACACACUCUUUCGACGCCAUUGCAACCAAAGCAAAUUCAUUCGUCAUUUGCUUUGAUCCCGUUAAAUAUCAGAGUAACUGUGACGGACAAUGGGUCAGAUUUUGUGAAAGCUUUCCGAGAAUUCGGUGUCGAUGUCUCGGAUCAAUUGCUGGCUGAUGAAUUAAUGGAUGAAAUCGAUUCAAGCGAUGAAUUCAGAGGUACGGAUCCUGAAAACCAGACCGAGACCGAAAUUUCAGAGGAAGAUCGUGUAGAGCCAGACGAGAAUUUCAGCCACGCGUGUGAAAAAAAAUUACCCCAGCACCUUAGAUGUGUUAGUCACACGCAACACCUCGUCGCAAUGACUGAUCCCUUGAGAGCGAUUCAUAAUUCGAAACAAUUGCAAAAGAUACAUUUUCAAGUCUUAAACAAAUGCAAAAUUCUCUGGAAAUGCCAACGCUCGCCAAAACAAAAUAAGACUCUACGCAACUGUUUGGGAAUUGCUCUCAAGAGACCAAUUAUAAUUCGCUGGAACUCCCUUCAUGAUGCUUCAAAGCAAAUAUUGCGAGUGAAAGAAAAGCUGCAAAAUAAUUCGCAUAUUGUCGCGGGAAAUUCGAAUUGGGAACUUGAAAACAGCGAUUUUUAAUAUUUGGAAGAGUACGUACCAUGCACGAGAGAUCUUGUACUCGCAAUGGAUCGCUCGCAAAGCGAUGAUUGUCAUUAUGGAAUUCUCCUGCCAACAAUGAUUUCACUAAAAAAUAAAGUGCAAAAUUUAUUGCGCAAUAACGGGGUCAUUAUUUGAAGACCGCCCAUAGAAACAAUAAGUGGAAUGAUGUCCAAAUUCAAGUGGGCGUGUAACGCCAGCGUUAAUGCUAGUUUCAUAAAAAUAACGCAUCAAUUAACGUCUAGUUUGAUUUUUAUUUGAAUGAGCAAUUUGAAUG